rnacentral:rRNA from 1 species
GACGAACGCUGGCGGCGUGCCUAAUACAUGCAAGUAGAACGCACAGUUUAUACCGUAGCUUGCUACACCAUAGACUGUGAGUUGCGAACGGGUGAGUAACGCGUAGGUAACCUGCCUGGUAGCGGGGGAUAACUAUUGGAAACGAUAGCUAAUACCGCAUAAUAUUGAUUAUUGCAUGAUAAUUAAUUGAAAGGUGCAAUUGCACCACUACCAGCUGGACCUGCGUUGUAUUAGCUAGUAGGUGAGGUAACGGCUCACCUAGGCGACGAUACAUAGCCGACCUGGGAGGGUGAUCGGCCACACUGGGACUGAGACACGGGCCAGACUCCUACGGGAGGCAGCAGUAGGGAAUCUUCGGCAAUGGACGAAAGUCUGACCGGGCAACGCCGCGGGAGUGAAGAAGGUUUUCGGAUCGUAAAGCUCUGUUGUAAGAGAAGAACGGAUGUGAGAGUGGAAAGUUCACACUGUGACGGUAUCUUACCAGAAAGGGACGGCUAACUACGUG